AGCUCAUUUCAUGUCUAAUGGGUACACCACUAUGCGUGAAGAGAAUCUCGGAAAAAAAACAUAAUUAAACAAAUAAUCUAGCACGAAACCAGUAAGUACACAGAUGCUCUAAGCUGGCGGGGGCAAAAAUUUUCACAGGCGGUUUUAGUUGUAAUACGCCUGUGUUGUAAAUUUGUACGGCAAGAUUUAAAAACCGCUUGUGUAAAUAGGUCUGUACAAACGGUUCACAUAAGAAAACCG
rnacentral:lncRNA from 1 species